rnacentral:lncRNA from 1 species
CCAAUGGCUGCGAGCGCCAGAGACUGGGGCGCGGGUGGGCGAGCUAGGGGGAUCGCCCGGUCGCAAAAGCAGUGUGUGCCUGGCCCCGCGUGGGUGAUUCCCCAGCCCUCGAACUGACUUACUGGUAACUGAAGGACAUCCCCCUCAUGAGCAGCACAGUUGGAGCCUGAGAAAGGUGCUUAUCUUAAGGGAGAAAUGUUUGGAGGCAACUCUGUACCAGAGGACAGGAAAUUUGUUCGCACUUGAGCUUUAGCUCCACCCUUGCCCUGCAGGGCAGGACAGUAAAUGAAUUGAACCUUGCCAGGAGGGGACGACGGCUGAUUCCCGGGGGUCACCUUAUACUCGGUGUGGGCGCAGCUCGAGUUGCGGCUCCAACAAGAGCAGAAAUGUAGAGCUAGAGGUAUUUUGGUUCAUUUCUGGGGAUUGGACCCAGGGCCUGACGAACAUUAGGCAAGCACUUUGUUGCUGAGCUGUACUUCCAGUCCCAAGUUUCAGAAUGUUUACAUGUUGACAGCUACUUAAUUAGAAAAGUUUUCAUAGGUGGGUCCAUCAGCAGGCCACCAUCAGUCCCCUGUGCAACAUGUGCAGUGAGAAACAACUGGUGUAUAGCACAGUGUGUACCUCAGAACCUCAGGUGGGAAGCGGGACAGAAAGCUGGAGGCCGAGUGAGGAGACCCAGAUCCCGGGCCUCCACCCCAAAGGCCCAUGCAAUUUGGCUCACACCCCACCCUGCACACCCACUGCUACCACACUGCUGAGGCACAGUGAGGCUUCCACACCAGUGUGGUGCCAGGCCUCUGAAGGGUGGGCUGUGCCUCCUGCACCCACGAGUCUGCUGACAUCACCCCAGCAACCUGUGGCGCUCCCCACAUCCCAGCCAUCGAAGGACGGAGCAGGGUUAAGGAUCAGCACCAAUGCAUCCCAACGUCCCUUAAGGGCAGUUUUCUGCAGCAAAGGACAUGGGAAAUGUGAGAGCCACAGUAGAGGCAGCUCAGUUACAACUGGUUUUUGCAAGAGGAUGCAGAGGGUUAGUGAGUGUGUUCUUCCCCUCGUCUUGCAUGUGCUAGAGGGAGUGGGAACAUUCACCUUGUUGUCCAGUGACUCAGGGCCAGUUUUCCUUAGAUAGCUCUAUGGGCUGGGGAGCACUGUAUAGCUCAGAUUUAGCACUUCAAAGCAAUAAAGUAAAAUAAAAUAAUAAAUAGCUCAUGGUUUUACAUGUUGCCCCAAGCAGUUAUGACUUGUGGUUUGAAAUAAAAAAUUAUAUCUAGCAUAAAAAGAGAAAGAGGGGUCAGGAUGUAGCCCAGCAGCACAGACACCUGCCUGGCAAGCUUGAGGUCCUGAGUUCGACCUCAAGGUCCUUUAGGUCUCCGGUACCAAAUAAAUAAAGAGAGAAAAAGGGAAUUAAAUUAAUUUAU